rnacentral:rRNA from 1 species
CCCUUAGAUGUUCUGGGCCGCACGCGCGCUACACUGAUGCAUUCAACGAGUCUAAAACCUGGUCUGAUAGAGCUGGGUAAUCUUUUGAAAGUGCAUCGUGAUUGGGAUAGAUGAUUGCAAUUCUUCAUCUUCAACGAGGAAUGCCUAGUAAACGCAAGUCAUCAGCUUGCAUUGAUUACGUCCCUGCCCUUUGUACACACCGCCCGUCGCUCCUACCGAUUGAAUGAUCCGAUGAAUACCAUGGAUUGAGAGUACGAAUGGGUUCGCUCAUUUCUGCUGCUCGAGAAGUGGAGUAAAUCUUAUCAUUUAGAGGAAGGAGAAGUCGUAACA